rnacentral:lncRNA from 1 species
AUGCCACAUCAAACUGUUUGUGGUACUUCUAAACUUCGUGGAAGAGCCCUGUUUCAUAAAUCUGAGACAGCCUUGGUCUGAGGGAGCAAAGACAGAGAAUUCACGUGCUGCCCAGGCAUAGCCACAUAGCAGGUGGACAUCCCUGGACACUUUUCUGAGAUUUUAUGUCAUAGACCCUCAUUGGAUUUUCCUGGAAGUACGGAGAGUUACAUCCAGAGAACUCUGAACAUUUUGGAAGGACCCCAAUCCUGCAAACAAUGAAUGGCAAUAAAUCCUGGGACUGGAAAGGUUUAAUGAAGCCAGCUGUCAUGUUGAUGAGACUCAUGUGUCAAGGAACUGAAGAUGGUCCAUAGCCAACAGCCAGCCAGGAACUGAUUGGCUAGUAGUCCUUGAGGAACUGAAUCUCACCAACAACCAUAUAGUGAACUUGCAAAUGGUGCUUCCUCAGUUGAAACUAAAGAUGAGACUGAAGUCCUAGUUAACACUUUGUUUGCCACCUUGUAAGAUUGUGAAACAGAGGCCUGAGCUAAGCCAUGCCCAGAUUCUUGAUCCACAGAAACUGUGAGAUAAUAAAUGUGCAUUGAUUUAAGCCUCAGAUUUUGUGGUAAUGCUUUACAAAGCAAUAAGUAACUAAUGCAGUAUUCAACAAAUUUUUUGAAAAAAAAAAGAUGCUUGAAGACCUGUAUUUAAUUAUUUUUGUGAAGAAUACUCAAUGUAUACUGACUGCACCUGGGUUUUUAGUCUUAACCAAAUCAUAUACCAGUUUUAUGACCUGGCAAAAAUGUUUUUCUCUCUCUCUAGAGGUCACUUUCUUCAUCUGUUAAACGAGGUAAUUAAUUUAGAUGAUCUUUAAAAUGUCCACUAGAUUUCAUACAUCUAUCACAUAUGAUUUCAUGUAUAUGUAAUGAAAACAAAUUUUAUAUAUAUACAAAAUUUAUUUUCACUUGCAUUUAUGAAACAGGAGAAACAAAAUAAAAUUACAUUUAUUUAUUUUAAUUUAAUCUUGAAAGUAAAUUCAUGUUAUCUUCUAAAAAUGUUUCAGUUUACAAUUCAUCCAUAUUAACUUUAAUAAAAUGAUAUUUGGU